UGGGGAAUACUGGACAAUGGGCUGACGCUUGAUCCGGCAAUGUUAAAUGAAUGAAAAGAAGGUAUUUAGCUGUAAAGUUCAUAAGGUUAAUUCUUACAUAAUGAACGGAUUAAUAAAGCCCCGACUAACUUCGUGCCAGCAGUCGCGGUAAUACGGGGGGGGCAAGUGUUACUCAUCAUGACUAGGCGUAAAGGGUGUUAAGAUCACUAAGGCUUGUCUUUACACAAAAAUCAAUUGAACUAUUGAAUAUGUUAAUUAAACAACUUAGCUUGAGUUAAUCAGAGAAUAGAAUUACUAGUUUUUGAGGGGUAGAAUCCGACUAGAAGAUUAGGAGGAACAAGGGCGAAGGCACCUAUUUAUGAUUAACUGACAUUGAUAUACUAAAGCGUGGGGAGCAAAC
rnacentral:rRNA from 1 species